rnacentral:lncRNA from 1 species
GGUAACAUCGUUAGAAAUGGUGGCCGAUUCUAUAUAAGGCCACGCUUUUUUGGAGUCGGCGGUGGAAUUGAACGAGCCAGAACUGGAGACGAAGGAUCCCCUCUCUCUGUUGUGCAAUCUCCCUUCGAUACUGAUCCAGGGCAACCAUGGAUUAUUGGAUCCUUGACCCAAUCCUUGUUUAUUCCUGAAGGCAGAGUCAGCAUUAGUUACGAAUAUGUUCAACUGGGUGACUCUGUUGAGAGUAAUGAGUGGGUAGCUGUUGAGGUUCAGCUUGCAGGAACCGUCGUUAAAGUUGGCUACUCAAAUGCCAUUUCAGGUUUCUUCACUAUUCACAGAGCUUCCACAGCCAAUACCUAUAAAUUUCAGUUCUGUUCAACUGCUGGGUCCUGCAGUAAUGUUGGGAUUGUUAGGGAUGAAGCAGGGAACAGGAUUUUGGCCAUCAAUCAGGGUACCCCAUUUUUCGAGUUUUAUCUUCAGGAACUUCCCUAUGAAGUAUCUAAAUGAAGCUCUGAACAUGAAAACAUGGUACACUUUCUCCGUUAGAGAGAGGUGUCUACGAUGUGCUUUGGACGUAAUUAACUACACAACACUAAAUAAAUAACAUAUCCAAAGCUUAUUUCUGUUUCUUCUUUCUUUUUAAUAUUUAAAAACUUUUACCUCUCCCAAUUUAUUAUAUCAUAAUUUAUUAAAAAGAAAUAAAAUUAUAUUCUAUAAAACAUAGGAAACUGUAACUUAAAAAAAUUUAAAUAAAUUCAGUAAAAAUAUUAAACCAUUUAUAUUAUUUUUUAUAAAAAUUAAAUUAGUAAAUUAUCAUUAUAAUGAUUUUUUUAUGAAAAAAUAUGAAUUUUAAACUAUAUAUGUUUAUAAAAAUGUAAAUUUUUCUCUAUCAUUUUCUAAAACGAAAUUAAUUGUUUAUAAUAAAAAAAAAUACAUAGUGUAUAUGUUUUUACAAGGUUUAUAAAUUAUAUUAUUUACUCGAGCACCCAUAUUAUUUUACAUAAAAUGCUUCAUAACAUUUUUUUCCUCUUUUAUAUUUAUAGUAAUAAUUACAUGUUUUUGUCUAUUUAUGUUUUACUUUAUGUGAUUCCUAUAAUUUUAAAAAAGACCCAAUAUAGUCCUUAUAUUUGAUAAAGAUACAUGUACCUCAAUGUUAACUAAUUUUAUUGUUUAUAAUUCACACAUGCACAUUGAACUUUCAUAUUUCUUUUUCAUUAAAAACACUAGUCACCAUAAGAAAAAUUGAUAUUAUUAACGGUCAAAAUUUGUCUCACAGUGUUUAAUAAAACCUUACAAUAUCAUAAUGUUUCUGAUUUUUUAUGAUGACAACACAUUAUUAAUAACACAUGUAUUGAUAUGUGUUACAUGUUCGUUACUUUCCUGUGUAUGAUUACUUGAGCACAUGUUUGUGUUAAUUCUGUCAUUGUGUGCAAUUUAACUUUGUUCUACAUGAGAUAUUAUCUGUGAUUGCAUAACAUAUGAUUUGGAAAAGAAAAACCACAUGCACUUUUGUUGAACUUAUAUUGUGUGGCAAAAUAAUAGUUUUAAGUCGACUUCAUUAUGAAGCAAGUCAAUUAAAACUCGUGUCUUUGCACAAACAUUUUCAAAGUGUGCUAUGAACAGUUCUGCAAAGAAAGUUUUUCAAAACUGCAUUGAAGUGUAACUUAGUCGACUAUGUGCGCAAGCCAUUCGACUUAGUUAGUUUUGUUUUGAAAAUCUGUUAAUGCUUGUGAAGUAUAACGACUAUAUUUUGUAUCUUUGACCAAGCAUUAAUUGUUAGUCAACUGUAUUAAAUGUGUAAUCAAUUUAGUUGGUCUGAUUGCUAUUAUCUAUUAUAACUGUUAUAACUGUCUGCAUUGAGUCGACUGCAUUAGUCGCACAAUCGAUUAGUGGAGCGCCUAUUUUGUGAUAAACUAUAUAUAAAUGCGAGUUUGAUUUCAAAAAGAGACUUUUGUGAUUUCAGUGAUUCUUUUCAAAUUUUGUAGAACGUGCUAAGCUCCAAGAACUCAUCAAGAAGACCGUGGUGAUCGUUCUUUGGUGGUUGCUUGAAGAGCAAGUGUUUGUGAUGAUAGAAAGAUUGAUCAUACUACACAUAAAGGUGUUUGGAACGUGAUCGACUACUUCUCUCAAUCUUUGGAAGAUUGUAGCUGCCCUGUUCUGAUUACAGGAAGAGGAGGUGAUGCGUCCAAAGACUCUAAGGAUUGUUCAAAGUGAUUAAAGAUUGUAGGAGAGGGGAUAUCUUGUUGAUGUUCUUUGUGUGUAUAUGCCUAUAUUUUGACGUGGAGAUCUCUAUAAAAACGUUGUUGUAAAAACCUUGACCAUUAUAGUGCAUUUUCUUCCGGGUACGAGAAGGACACUAGAUGUAGGCAGUUUGGCCGAACCAGUAUAAAAAUUGCGUUCAAAUCUUCUAUCCCAACACUUUUACAUUUCAAGUCAACUUUACUUUUAACGUACUCAACUAUCUUCCGCUGCACUUGAAUUAUCUUUUUCCUUGCGAUUCAAGAAACUUUUGAAAGUUCUAUCUUUUACGAAAAAGAUUUUAAAAAGACUCUGAUUUUUUUAUUUCACCAAUUCACCCCCUUUCUUGGUGUUGAAACUAUGUCAUUCUAUUUUCAACAAUUGGUACCAAAGCUGAUUUUCAUAAGAUAUUUGAAAAACUAGUCGACUUCAUUUUUCUUUGAAUCGACUAUUCCUAGAAUAUGGCCUAUAGUUUUCAAACCUUUGGUGAUGGUGUAUCGACAAAUAGACCACCAUUGUUUGCUGGUGAAAACUAUCCUUUUUGGAAAAUACGAAUGCAAAUUUUUCUUGAAUUAGUGGAUAGAAUUAUUUGGGAUGCAACAGUAAAUGGUCCUUUUCAGCCAACUCAUAUUAUUAAUGGCAAAACAAUUUUGAAAAAAUUUUCUGAGUGGUCUCAAGAAGAAAAUUGUAGAGCACAGUAUGAUGUUAAAGCACGAAAUAUAAUUGCCUCUACGCUAACAGUUGAUGAAUUUUUCAAGAUCUCUCAUUGCAAAAUUGUCAAAGAAACGUGGGACAUGCUGGAAGUCAUACAUGAAGGCAUGGAUGAGGUCAAGAGAGCCAGAAAGAAUCCUUUAAUACAAGAGUAUGAACUUUUCAGAAUGAGGACUAAUGAAACCAUAUAUGAGGUUCAAGAAAGGUUCACUCACAUUGUCAAUCAUCUAAUGACUCUUGGGAAAGUGUUCGAUAAAGAGGAGAUCAACAUAAAGGUACUCAAAAGUUUGAAUAGAAGCUGGCAACCAAAAGUCACUGCAAUCUCUGAAUCCAAGGAUCUAAAAAGCAUGAAUAUGACUACCUUGUUCGGGAAGUUAAGUGUACAUGAACUUGAACUUGGAAGAUUGAAAGAUGAGGAAGAGAUUGAAAAAAAGAAGUUCAUAACACUGAAGGCUAUAAACAUGAAAGCCUCAAAGACUGUACAAUCUGAGGAUCAUUUUGAUGCUGAAUUGGACAACAACGAACUAAUGUCCAUGGUGGUAAGAAAAUUUAAUCAGUUUAUGAAAAAUACUAGUCAACUUACUGACCAUGUAGGAAAUAGCAAAGGAAACAAAAUUACCAGAUCAAAUGCAGUUCAAUGUUAUGAAUGCGACAAAGAAGGACACAUCAAGCCUGAUUGUCCUGAUCUGAAGUUGAAGUAGAAAACAAACAGGAGGUUCCCCAAGGACAAGAAUAGAAAGCAGAAAAGUGCUUAUCUUGCCUGGGAAAAUACUGACUCAGAAUCCUCAAGUGAUGAAGAAUGUGAUCAAUAAGAGGAAUUAAAUAUAUGCUUCAUGGCUGGAAAAUCAUUGACAAAUUAUGAUAAUGAUACAGAGUUCGAGAAAGAACCUAUUGAAGUGAAGUACGACCUGUUGCUGGAUGCAUUUUAAGAAAUACACGCUGAAGCCGACUAUAAUACAAGGUUAAUCGACUUAACUCUGAGAGAAAGGAUUAUGAACAUAUGAUAAAUAAUCUAGUCAAUGAUAAUGAUAAACUGCAAAAGGAAUUAGAUGCAACUUUAUUAUCCUACUCGGGUUGAACAAAUAGAUUACUUGACUAGUACACUAGCAAAGUUCACUCAGGGUAGAGAUAAUUUAGAUGAUGUUUUAAAGUGAUCUGGUAGAGCUAUAUACAGACAAGGUAUUGGAUAUAAAGCUCAAUCAAAUAAGACCAAUACAAAGAAGUUUGCUAACUUGAGUAAACCUGUUAAACAUACAUGUUUUUACUACAAUAACAUUGGUCACACUAUUAGAAAUUGUUUUUACAGAAAGGUUGGUGUUCCAAAAUGAAUGUAUAAGUGGGUUCCUAAGGAACAAUUGUCUGCUAACAAACAAGGACCCAAAUUCAAAUUGGUACCUGCAUCAAAAAAUGUUAAUUGUUUUGCAGGAUAGAAAGUGAGUAGUAGUGGAGAUCUCAAGGAUGAACUAAUAUGGUUAUAUCAAAUUUCUUGAGUAUCUCCAAGCGGUAACAAUCAUUUUAUGUUUGCAUCAUGUUUGAUAUGUAUGAUUGUGUGAUUGCUUGAUUGUUUAAUGAUAUGUAUGAUUGAUUGAUUUUAAUUGUUUACUGUGAAAAUCAAUUUUUACGACUUUUAGUCGAUUAGAUUAUGUGCACAGUCGAUUGCAUGUUGUUGUAUGUAUGUUUCUGUUUUUGAAAACUCUCUGUCAUACAGUAGUCAACUUUAAAAUUAAUGGAAUGGACUAGAUAUCUCUGUCAUUAGCCUUUUUGUUUUGAAAAUUUAAAAUGGGCUAAAUCUUGGUGGAACUUAAUUUGUGCCUUUAAAUAUGAUUGCUUGUAUUGACUCUACUUCAUGCAUGUUGUAAGAAAAACCCUUAUUUUUGUUCAAGAAGUCUCUACACUCUUUACAAAUCUUCAAAAAUGGCUGCUUCAUCAUCUCAACCUGGAAAGUGCUCGACUUGUACAAGAAGAGCAGCAAAUCCUUUUGGGUGGUUCAGCGAUGAUGAUCAAAGAACUGACAUUAUAUGCAAAUGGGGUUUUAUGGAAGUGAUCAGGCAUAAGUGCAUGAGUAUUCUAUUCUUCCACAAUGAAGGCUUUGCAUUUCAAGAAUGGUUUGAGAGAGCUGGCUUGACAAAGUUUGUAGAACUCCAAGGGGAUUGUUAUCCAAACCUAGUGAAGAUUUUCUAUUCAAACCUGAGAAAAGAAGGAAACAAUCUUAUAUCAAGACUAAAAGGUGUAAACAUCUGUAUAGGCUAUUUCAUUUGGAAAUAUGUUGCAAGACUUCAACAAGAAGGAUUGAUGGCACAUCAAGUAUUUCUGGUUUCUACAAAACUGAAUUAUACAACAACUUCUUGAAGAAUCCUUACUUGGUUGGUAGAUAUGAAUCCUUUGGCAUCGAGAACUUAAGUAAGGAAGAAAGCUUGUGCGCAUAUAUGAUUACUUGGAUACUACUUCCAAGGGAUGAAGAUCAAUCACUGCUGAAUGGUGAAGAUAUAUACCUAUUGUAUGCCUUACAAACUGGUACUCCAACAAACUAAGCCUUAGUGAUUAGUGAUUAUAUGUUAAGGUUUGCAAAACGAAAAGAGUAUUAUCUACCAUACGGUGUCUUCAUCAGUAAAAUAUUAAGAAUGCAAAAUGUGGAUCUCAAAAAUGAAAAAACUAUUGGUUGCAACAAGAACAAUGUUUUGGAGAAAUUGUUUUUAGAUUCUGUGGGAUUCAGGAAAGUGAAAGAAGGCUGGAUAUUCAAGAAUGACUACAUUCCUAGUACUGAAGAUAUGAGUCCUAUAAACAUUGAUUUAUCCAAAUACAAAUUUCUACCCCAAACAAUAUUUGAAGAAUUUGUGGAUGAAAGGUUCAAAAGACUUAAUGAAAAGAUGAUAGUGCUGCAAAAAUCACUCAUAAAGCUGCAUAGAAAGAUGGACUAUGCACUAAGGAUAAAUGCCUUUUUAGAUACCUCAGCGAAUGAUUCUGAUAGUGGAAAGAACAACACUGACAAAAAGAUUAUAGAGUCUUCCAAAACAAAAUAGGGUCUUGUGUUUACAACAUUGUGUCAUGAGUCAUGUUUGAUGAAGUGUUUCGUCAUUUUAGUUUGAGUGUUUUAGUUUCUUUUGGAAUAGGCCUUAUAUGGCACUGUCUUUGAGAUAUCUGAUUGUAACACCCUUUUGGAAUAUUAAUGAAAUCAGAUGUUUUUUUUUUUUUUUAAUUUGAUCAGUGUUAAUUUGAUAAUUGAAAUCGUUUAAAUCAAAUUAAAAUGGACUCUGUGUUGACUGAAGUUGAUUAUGUUGUGUUUAUCUUUACAUUGAUAUUUUUGCAUAUUCACUUCUUAACUGUAUAAUUUCUUUCAUUAUAAUGAUUCUAAAAUGCUUGAUCUACAAAAGAUCUUGAAAGGUUUUGCAGGAACUGGAUAAACUACUGGAGUUUCUACUCAAUGGAAAGCAAUGAAAUCGAUUGCCAAUGAAGAACAAUCGACUACUGGUUUACAAGGGUUAUAAAUUCCAUUUAUUGGAAUUUGGUUUAUUGAUCUCAUAUCAUAUACAGUUUCUUUCAAUAUAUCUAUUUCUUUGAUUGAUUGAUAUAUUUGAGAUAUUAUUGAGAUUGUUGAUUGAUUGUAUCUAUGCUUAAUUGAUUUUAUUGUACAAUUUUUGGUUUUGAUACAAUUCUGUCACAUGAUUUUAAUAUGCUUUGAAAUCUGUAAAAACUGCAUUGUGCAUCUGGGUUUUGAUUAUAAAACAUGCAUAAUGACAAGGGGAGCAUUGCAUGAUAGAUUAGAUAUUUCACAUGCCUACACUUAAGGGGGAGAUUUUUUAUUCUGUUUGUUAUUCUUUUCUUUGUUUCUUGGCCAGGAGUGCAAGGUCUUGAGUGUGAGGUGUGUUAAGUUCACAAUUCACCAUGUUUUUAUGAGUUAAAUCACUCCUUUUUGAGUAACUUUUAGUUCUUAUAUGAUUUUGAGAGAUUAGAUUUGUCUUUUCAUGAUAAAAUAGUUGUUUUGAUGAAUUUGUGCUAAUGAGGUGUUUUUAGAUGCGUUUUUUUUUUCUUAGGAUUGUGCUAGUCUUGUUUUAGUCUUUGUAAGUGUAAAUUUCAGUUUUUGAAGCUAACUUCAUGAGGAUUUUUCCAACUUUUUAAUGCAGAGCAAUUCAGUGACUUAGUGUUUUGUUAGGUAAGUAGGUAAGUAUGUUUUGUUAGGUUGCCUUGAUUUAGAAAUUCUAAUUCUGCAGUUCUUUUUGCUUCAACUAGUUUGAUUUAUCUAUAAAUCAUGUUCACUCAUAUAUGUUUGCAUCUUGCAUUGCAUGGUUGAAUCAAGCCAAUAGACAAAAUUCACAUUUGAUGAUAGAAGCACCAGUGUGUUGUUUGAUGCCAAACUAGAUUCUAGUUAGUGAUUUUCGUUUCUGCAUGCAUUUCUUGUUUGUUGCAGUCAUUGCAUAUUCAUUUUCUGCUUUUUUGAUUCAUUGAAGCAUUUUUGCAAAUAAUUUGGUAAAACUGCAUGUUCAUUCAAGCAUUUCAUUAAAUAGUUUGAGAUUUCAUAAUUAGGCAUAGCUUUUCGUAAUUGUAAGCAUCCCAACAUAUUACAUUAUAUCAUUCUUACUGUUUUAAGUAAUUCUUAUUUUCUAACCAGUUUAAUACCAUUUCAUGAUGAAUUAGUCAUCUACCUAAUGCAUAAGCAUACUAUUCUAUCAUAGCUCAUUUUAAAAAUAGUAUUUUACAUACAUUUUAAUUCAUUUUAUCAUUUCCCCAUCUUCUUGCGAAAACUUAACACUAACUAAGAAACAGAUUAGCUUUCAUACCAAUUUGUUGUACAAUUCAAUGCCAAAAUUAUUCUAAAGAUAAGAACUUGCAGAAAGGGUAAAACAAAUCACACAUUGGGAAAUGAUGAUUCAAUAAUUAUAUAAAGUUAUAAAUAUUAUGAAUUAAUGAUUUUUUAUUGGUUUUCUACAAUUACUCGUAUGUUUUUAUUUUUUUUUCUGAGAUUUAUCUAUUUUUAUUAACUAUUUGUAAAAAGUAUCAUUUGGGUUGAAUUUUAUAUUUAUAAAUAGGAUUUUUCAUCUUAAUAAUAUAAUACAUAAAAUUAGUCUUCAUUCUCUUUUAUUUUCUCUUUUUCCUCUUUUUUUUUUCUUCAUUAUCAGCUUUAUAUUUUAUAACAAUAAAUACAUAUAUCAUAUUCUGUUUAAAAAAAAAAGAGCCUUAUUUCAUCCUUCGUAUACAAUGCGUAUUCUAUUCAACCUUACAAAGGGACACAAAGUUCUUACAAGUAAGUUAAACCUACAAACAAAAUCUAAAUAAUAGAAAAUGUAUGUAUAAGACGAUUGGUCCACCAACCUGACAUUAAUACUAGACAACGUCUACAAUUGUUUGAUGAUUUUCAAGGGAAGACAUCUACAUUUUGAACACAUAGUUUUAUUUAUUAUUAAUAAAAUUAUACAAAAGAAUAAUCAUCUAGUAUUCCUAAACUAGUUAGGAACUAAACCAUUCAGGUCUUAACAAUAUUUAAUUUAAGACUAAAUUUUGUAUGAAUAAAUAAAAACUUUCUUAUGUCCAUUAAUCAACAAAAAUAUGAUUUCUAUUUAUGUUAUAAGUUUUCAAUAAUAAUAGAGAAUAAAAAAGAAAUAAUUUUUAAUUUAAAAAAUAGUUUUCCACUUAAUUACUAUAAUAAUUGAGUAUUUCUCUCUAAAUUACUUAACAAAAUAAAUUUUUAGUUUUAAAUGACCAACUUGCAAAUUAAUACAAAAAUUGUCUGAUAAUUAAAUCAAUCAAAAUAUAAUAUAUUUUGUGGUGAAUAAUAUACUUUACGCAGGAUAAGGAUGACGCUUUUGGCGUACGAGGCUUUGAUGGUCCCCAAACAAUAAAUAGGGGCCAAGUUUAAUGUAAUGUGCGGCGAAAAUUACAUAGACACAAUUUAGGUCUUGGUCCCAAACAUCACAAUCCUUCUGCCAAUAAUUACAUAGACACAAUUUAGGCACGUGAGAGCUAAUUUUGUAAUCAUUUCAUCGGAUGUUCUCGAAGGGAUAUGUAGGACAGUGUUUUCUAAAUUGAAUUAAUUAAUUUUAGCAUAGUGCUUAAUAAACAUUAGAGCUUUCAAUUUCACAUUCACACAGAAAGUAAUUGGCACGGCCUAAAAGGAUAAUAAGUAACUAUCCGAUAAAUAUACUAAUAAACACAAUUCAAUAAGUUCUAUUUAGUAAUAUUGGUCCAAUUAGAUAAAUAUUGUUAACAAAAGAGAUUUUUUUGAUUUAGUUAUCAUAUAUUAAAGUAUAAUCAAAUAUUAAUAGUUUGAAAAUUGAUGUAAGAAAUAUUUUUUUAUAUCUUAUAUUAAUAAGAUAUAUGAUUAAUUUGGUUUAAUGGUAUAUUAUAUAUAUAUAUAUAUAUAUAUAUAUAUAUAUAUAUAUAUAUAUAUAUAUAUAUAUAUAUAUAUAUAUAUAUAUGGGUUUGCUAACUUGCGUAUGUCUAUUUUUCAGUUAGUACAAUUUAGCAAUGUAUAUCGGGUUUCAGUAGACAAAAAUACUCCUAUAUAUCAUGAAUUCUAAGUUUUAAGGUUAAGGGUAUUUUAAUAAUUUUCAUUCUCAAAAUUAAAAAAAUAAAAAAAAAAACCCAAACUCUUACCCAUCUCUCUCGUUCCUCUCGACCAUUUCUCUUUCAUCUCUUUCACUCCAACCUUUUCUCUGUCAUCCCUACUCUAGCUCCAAUUGAAAAAAAAUCAGAAACACUUGCCUUAUUUUAAUAAUUUUCAUUCUCAAAACUAAAAAAAGAAAACCUCAAACCCUUACUCACCUCCUUCAUUCCUCUCAACCCUUUCUCCUUCAUCUCUCUCACUUAAACAUUUUCUCUAUCAUCUCUGCACUAGCCCUAACUAAAAAAACAUUCAUUAUUAAACGAUUUACUUUUGUAAAGAGUUGAGUCAUAUUCACCUUUCGAAAAAAGUUCAUUCAAAAUCUCUUUAAUUUCAUUAUCUUCACUAUAUAUAUUACAGCCGACGGGCACAACUUGCACCAAGACUUAUGAGCAUCCUUCCUUUACAUUCCUUUACAUUCUGAGACUACUACGUAACAUUGCUCCCUGGCCAUUUAAUUUUUUUGGUAGAAAUUCAUUAACUUGUUUUCCUUUACUAAAGAAAAAAACAAAUCAAAAUACAAUAAAAUUCUCAAUUAUAAAAUCAAACAAUAAAAAUUCUAAAUCUUGAAAUUUUAUUUAUAAUUAUAUAAAGAAAAAAUUAGGUGCUUUAAUUUUUUUAUUUAUGUAAGUAUUUUUUUUCUUNNNNNNNNNNNNNNNNNNNNNNNNNNNNNNNNNNNNNNNNNNNNNNNNNNNNNNNNNNNNNNNNNNNNNNNNNNNNNNNNNNNNNNNNNNNNNNNNNNNNNNNNNNNNNNNNNNNNNNNNNNNNNNNNNNNNNNNAUAUAUAUAUAUAUAUAUAUAUAUAUAUAUAGGUUUGUUAAUGCGCGUACACUUGUUUUUCAAUUGGUACAUUUUAAGAAUGUAUACCAGGUUAUAGUAGACAAAAAUACCCUCAUAUAUUAUGGAUUCUAAGUUUUAAAGUCAAGGAUAUUUAGAUAAUUUUCAUUCUCAAAACUAAAAAAAGAAACCCCCAAACCUUUACUCCCCUCUCUCAUUCCUCUCAAUCCUUUCUCUAUCAUCUUUUUCACUCCAACCUUUUCUCUAUCAUUUCUACUGUAGUCCCAAUUAAAAAAAAAAUCAGAAACACGGGCUGUUAAACAAUUUCUUACAAAAAAAAAAAGAUUUUAUAAUGAGUUUUCAUUUUAUAAUUUUUGUCUUAUCUAAUUUUAUCUAAUUUUCACAAGCAUAAUGAUAUAUGAAGGAAUUGGUAAUUCGCCUGGAAAAAAAUCAGAAACACUCGCUAUUAAACAAUUGGUUUAAACCUCUUUUUUAUAACUUAGGAAUCAAAGGUUUACAUUUUUAAAAGCGGGGACUAAACUGAACAUCCGCUCAUAACUUAGGGACCAAAAAGAGGUUUAAACCUAAACAAUUUCUUACAAAAAAAAUGAUUUUAUAAUGAGUUUUCAUUUUAUAAUUUUUGUCUUAUCUAAUUUUAUCUAAUUUUCACAAGCAUAAUGACAUGAGAAUGAAUUGGUAAUUGGCCUGAAGGUUUUUUAAGAGAUGAUGAUUCAACAUCUGCAGAUGAUGUAAUUAGAGAGGUUAGUGAAGAUGAUGAAAUUGAAGAACCUUUGUCUGAAGGCGAAUAUGUCAAUGACUCAACUCUUUACAAAGGUAAAUUGUUUAACGACGAGUAUUUCUAAUUUCUUUUUUCAGUUGGAUCUACCAUAGGAUGAUAGAGAAAAUGUUGGAGUGAGAGAUGAAAGAGAAAGGGUUGAGAGGAAUGAGGGAGGUGAGUAAAGGUUUGGGAUUUCUUUUUUUAGUUUUGAGAAUGAAAAUUAUUUAAAUAUCCUUGACUUUAAAACUUAGAAUCCAUAAUAUAUGAGGGUAUUUUUGUCUAUUAUAAUCCGAUUAAAAUGUACCAACCAGACAUACACGGGUAAGAUUUCAUUAUUUGUUGAUAUUGUCUAUUUUAUGAUUUUAUAAUAUCAAAAACUCUAUAAAUAUACGAGAUGUUUUUUAGUGAGUACAAUAUAAUUCAUAUUCAUUAUUUUAAUUUUAUAAAUACUGAAACUAUCUUAUAUUAUCCAUUAUUCACUAAUAUUUUUAUUAUGGUAGAAUAAUUUAUUAAAUAUAUGUAGAGAAUACAUGUCAAAUAUUUUUUUUUUUUCCUUUUGGUAACACCUGUCUCAAUUUGGGCUACAAGUUAUAAUAAUAUUCACAAUAAGAAGAAAGGAGUCAAUGCACACUCUGUUCCAAAUUCUGUAUAUCCUUGUGGAUCUCAUCUAUUUCAGUAAAAAGAUUAAUGAGUCACACCCGAAGAAAUCUUUGAGAUAUAUAAUGAAAGAAUCACAAUAUUAUUUGGAUGAUUCAAUAAAACACCUUAUGGAAACUUUACCAAUCAACUUCUUGGCAGCAUUUGAUGAUGCUGUUAGUAUUUUGAGUUUGUGAAAAAAAUAGUUUAUAGGAUAGAGAAAAUAUGGAAAUAGUAGAAUGUAAAAAUAAUAGUUUGAAGAAGUAUAUUUUUUUAGUUGUCUUAGUUGUGGUAGAUGUUGUUUUACAUCAAAUUAUGGAGUAUAUGAGUAUUUAUAGACCCAUAGAUUAUUUUAGAAAAUGCUAACCACAUCUUUUGUGGAAUGCUCUAGAUAUUUACUUAUGUAGAAUGCUCUUGAUUUUUUUCUUCCCAUCUUAAAUUUUCCUAUAGUAUUCUAGAAUUUGUAUUACAUUUUAAUACUUCUAUCUUAGGAUUUUCUAUAUUAUUCUAGAAUUUGCAACACAUUUUAAUACUCUUUCUUGAUGCAAAUUCAGCUCCAAGCAUAGAGCAUAGUAGCUCAAAUCUUGGUCUUGGUAACACCUAUGUAAAAAUAUCUGCAAUUUGGUCUUCUAUUGGACAAUACUCGAGUUGAAUUUGCUUAGUUGUCUGUUUAUUUCGAAUGAAGUGAUAUUUAAUGGCUAUAUGUUUUGUUCUUUGAUGAUGGACUGAAGUUUUUGCUAUUGUUGGUAUCGAUUUGUUGUCAUAAUAGAUAAUGGUCAUCCAAUCUUGUAGUUGACCUAUUUCUUCAAGUAUUCUUCGUAGCUAAAUUACUUAACUCGUGAUUUCAGCAGUUGCUACAUACAUUUCUUUUGUUGUUGAUUGUGCCACAAUUACUUGCUUCUUUGAUACUUUAUAAUGAAUUUGACUUGGCUUUUGCAUGAAUCUUGAUAGAAGACUUGUAGCAUACGUAAUGUCCGGGUGUGCGGUUGUGAGAUACAAGAUACUUUCACUUAAACUCCUGCAGCGUGAUGCAUUUGCCUCUUAUGCUUCAUUAUCUUUUUGCAGCUUCUCGUUUACCACAAAUGGAGUAAUUACAUGUCUACAAUCAUACAUCUUGAAAUUCUUUAAUAGAGUUUCAAUAUAUUUCUUUUGAGAGAUAAAUAUACCUUCUUUUUCUUGUUUCACCUCUAUAUCGAGGAAAUAGUUCCUCAAGCGAAGGUCGAUCAUCUUAAAUGUCUUCAUUAUGUCUUCUAUAAAUUCUUUCAUCAUCUCCGUUUUUUUCCAGUAUAGAUAAGAUCGUCAAUAUAUAAGGAGAUAACGAGAUGAUACUGAUCUUGUGCCUUAAUAUAUAGUGUUGGUUCACUCUUACUCCUCCUGAAUCCUUGAUCGAUGAAGUAUUGAUCAAUCUUGCUAUACCAUGCUUGAGGAGCUUGCUUCUGGUCAUAUAAGGCAUUUUUUUGUCUUAGUACUUUUCCUUCAUUGUCUUUGUUGAUGAAGCCUUGUGGUUGUUCAACAUAAAUCACUUCUUUGAGCACUCCAUUUAGAAAUGUUGAUUUGAAAUCCUGUUGAUAGAUGUUCCAUCCUUUUUGUGUUGUAAGAGCUAUUAAAGCUUUAAUUGUAUCUAAGCGAGCAAUUGGAGCAAAUGUCUCAUUGCAGUCUAUUCCUGACUAUUAUGAGUAGCCUUUAGAGACAAAUUUUUCCUUAUGUUAUAUGUUUUGGAUGUAGGGUCAAGGAUCUCAACAAAACACUCCUUCACCCUUUCCUUUGAGUCAACUUAGGUUAUCUUGAAUACUCUUAGUUAAAAUCCUUUCUAGUCCAAGCUUCAAACUGUCCAGGUGUACCUGUCAAAGGCACUAUGAUGCUCAACAUCUCGACUAAAGGUGAGUUCUUUUGUUUGUAAGUUGUAGAAUUGAUAGCCUUUUAAUUAUGUGUUAUAUCUCAAGAAUAUUCGUCGUAUAGUCUUGUCUUCAUGUUUGUGCCUCAUUUGAUCAAGAACAUGUAUGUAGUAAAUAAAUCCAAAUACUCGUAGGUUUUUAACUAAUGACUCUCUUCCCCUCCAAGCUUCAAUAUGAGUCUUGUCUUGGAUUACCCUAGAUGGACAUUUGUUUAAAAUUUAAACUCUAGUAUAGACUGAUUAAGCCCAAAAGAGUUAGGCAUAGCAUUGAUCUUGCCAUCUCCAUGACUAAGCAAUUCUUUCUCUCUGACACACCAUUUUGUUGUGGAGUAUAUGCGAUUGUAAGUUGUCGUUCUAUGCCUUCAUCGUCGUAGAAUUUGUCAAACUUAUGAGAUAUGUAUUGUUUGCCAUGAUCACUUCUAAGUACUUUUAUCUAUUUUUCUCUUUGCUUCUUGAAAAGAGCCUUGAAAUACUCCAAAGACUUCUGAAUUUUCCUUUAAGAAAUAGAUUCAUGUCAUUCUAAAGAAGUCAUCAAUGAAGAAGAUGAAAUACAUGUUGUGAUAUGUGAAGUUGAGAGAAACACUAGAAAAGGGGUUGAAUAUUGUUUCUAUAUAUCUUUCCGAGACUAAUAUAGUGAUCAUGAUUUGAAUGAUCUUCAUGAGCUAGUUAAAACAUACUUUAUAAGUUAUUCUGAUGAACAUAUUUAUAGUCUUGGGUUUAGCUCAUCCUUCUAGUGGUUAUGAAGGAGCGAAUCUAGGAAAAUGUGGUGUAUGUUGAAGGUGCAUAUGUUGAGAAAUUGUUUUCCACAUAGGAUGAUUUUUUUUUCAAACUAAAGCAUAACACACACAUUUUAUACUGGUUCACUCAAUUGAGCCAUGUCUAUUUUUUCUCUAAAAUAACUUAACCCACUCCUGGUUGUACAGUAUUCUUCACCACUCUUGGUAUCCCUAGACGUUACCCGGUAUCCUCCAAAUACACUCGUCUAGUUGAGUUCACUCACUCCUAGUUUUCACUAGACAUACCCGUCUAGUUACCGUUUAACUCCACCAAAUUAAACGUUAGAGUUUCACCUACUCCUAGUUUCCAUUAGACAACCUAUCUAGCUAUUUUUUAACUCCUUAAAGUUAAACAUACAGUGUUUUAAUUCUCUUAAUAAUUUACAAUCAACAGAUUGAUUACAAGUCCUUAGAUGAUAACUCUCAUAGAGAGGAUAUGCAUUCAGUGCAAUUCAAUCUAAAAGAUGCAUUGAGUGUUUUCUCUCUUCUCUUUGUUAGAAAAAUCAUGAAGAUAAAAUUUUUAAUGAUGCCCAAAUCAAGUCUCAAGCGUUCACCUUGUCUUCCUGAAGACUUUUUUUAUGUUUUAAAGCUUUUGUAAUAAGUAGAUCUAUGUAUAGGGCUUUAUUUGUUGUUGAUUCAAUGUAUUGUUUGCUUUAAAGUUCGUUUUGGAAUCACAAAAACCCUGCAAUAAUUGAUUAACACUUAAGAUAAUCGAUUAUCACAAAUAGGUUUUUAAAAACUCAUUUUUUUCUCUAGAAGAAUCGAUUACCAGCGUAUGAUAAUCAAUUAUGACUUACCAUAAUCGAUUAUCAUAACUAGCCGUUGGAGUUUUUAGGCAUGUUUUUUAUACAAAUUUUGUAUAUGGAUAUCAGAAGGUAAAAUCCGUAUGUAAAAUCCGUAUAUAACUCGUUUUUCAGGAUCUGCAUGUAAAAUCCGUAUGUAAUACCUAUGUUACAUACGGAUCAAAAUCCGUAUGUAAAUAUCAGUAGGUAAUAACAAUUUUUCUUGUCCUUAGCUCAUCAUCCUUGGACCAUUUACCACCACAUUUCCAAACCCUUCAUCGAAGGAAACACCCCUACAUGCACAUCUCCUAGCUUUGGCCCAACCUAACCAAGGAGGUUGCCAUCACAUUAGAAGAAAGACAUGUGAUAAAAAUCCUCUCCAUUAGAAGGAGGACAUGUGGUAAAAAUCCUCUCCAUUAGGAGGAGGACAUGUGGCAAAAAUCUUGUCCAUUAGGAGGAGGACAUGUGGCCACUACCUAUGGAAAAUCCUCUCCAAUGUGAGCAUAAUGCAUGACCGCUCUCACAAAGGUUGGACGACCCACUCCCUUACUCGCCAAGCUAGGUUGAAAACAUUGACCCUUUGGUCUACCUAGCUUAUGGACGUCCACUUGGGUCAACAUUGGACCUUGGCCUUUGUUGAAUCAAGUGGUCUAAAAACCCUACACCAUUUUGCCUAAAAUACAAGGCCCAAAAUAAAACCUACACUACUUGGCCCAAAAUAUAAGGCCAAAUUUAUUCUACUCCUAGUUAAACCUUCAGAUAUACAAUGUCAACAAGCAUAUAAAAGAAUACAAGAACAUUUUACCUGCGAAGGGUAAAGAUGGGAUGAUGGCAUCCACUUUCCUGAUGACGUCGACAUCUUUGAGACGAAGGAUGGUGUUUAUGACCAUUGAAACGUUUUUCAUGUUGGUGAGUUCCAUGCUUGUAAGCCUCACUUAUUUUUGCAAAUCAGAACCUAGCAUGGUUAGCAGCCAAAGAGGAAAACGCAACAAAUUUCAUACGUGGAGGCAGGAUAAAGUUUUACUUGACCCAACAGUGGGCACCAAGUGAUCUUAACAAGAUCAUGAGCGUGGAUUUGCAUAUAGAUGGAAAGAUCCUAGUGGUGGCUUGAAAGCUCUUGCUGGUCAGAAUCAAAUCCCUUGUUGUUGAAAGGUGAGAGAUUUACAUGCAAAAGACUCUUCUACACUAUCAGUAAAAGUGUUUAGAUUUUUAUAAAUAUAGUUGAGUAUGAAUGAAUAUUUCUUAGGAAGUACUAGUUGUAUUUAUAGAAUCAAUAUGAACCGUGAAUCUAUUUUUCUAUGGGAAUAAUGCUUACCUCAAGUAUAUAAUAAAAAUGUAGUUAAUAAUAAUAUAAUGAUGCAUAUCAUAAAUAAUAGUCAUAAUAUUAAUUGUGAUAUGUGGAUAUUAUCUUAAUAGAUAUAAGAUUUGACUGCUUUAGAAUAACGAAACUUAAUGAACCUUAUUAUUAUAUCAUGUUCUUUAAUAUAUCUAUUCAAUCGAGUAAAAAAUAUAUAAAAUUAUUUCAUUUUCAUUAUAUAGGAAUUCAUCACUAACAUCUUUUUACUCUAUUACACUAGUGCAAAAUUGGGCUUUAACGUCACCCCAUAGACGUCAGAACAGAGAACACGCAACAUAAAUUAUUGACCGGUGGCAUUUUCGUAAAUAAGUGGGCAUAUAGACGUCAGUUCGGAGGGGCACCAACGUCUAUAACAUACUAGACGUCGAGGCCCCUCCUAACUGACGUCUAUAUGCCUGAGAGGUAGGUGAAAAGUCACUUCUUUCGGCCAUAUAAAUGUCGUUUAGGAGGGGCACCGACGUCUCUAAUAUUACAGACGUCGGUGCCCCUCUAACCGACGUUUAUAUGCCUGUCAGGUAGGUGAAAAGUCAUUUCUUUCCGCCAUCUAGACGUCAGAUCCUGCCAUACUGACGUCUAUAUGCGAUUAUAGACGUCGGCGCCCCCUUCAUUUGACGUCUAUAUGUACCACGAAUAUUAAUUUUUAAAUCGAAUGGACGUCUCAUUAGUGAGAGCCCCGACGUAUAUUCGAGAACAGACGUCAGUUGCUGGGGAAACCAACGUCUGAUAUUCUUUUAAAUAAUACAUUACAAACCAACAGUUACGCGUACUUCAUCGUCUUCCUUCGCAUUGCAUUUCGAGGUGCGUUUGAUCUCUUGUGAACAAUUUAGCCUUAUGUUUACUCCAAUUAAAGUAAUCUUUGAUGUAUUAUCUUUCGUUUGAACCGAUUAAAAUGAGUGUUGUGUUUUGGUGCGGUUUUUCUUGUGUCUUUGGGUAGUGUAGUGCACCUUCUCCCUUUGCUAGCUUUCCUCGUAAGAAAAGCUUGCGUCUUUUGGAUAUCUUAUGGCAUAUCAACCGAAAGCCAAUCCUGGGUCCUUACCUAGUUUGCAUGUCACCAUAUUAUUUUUCUUUGGCGGUUGGAAUGGAACUAGGCAACGACCCAUGUUCUGUUUUGGGUUGAAAUGCCAUAAGAGAUGCAAAAGACACAAGUUUUUCUUACGAAGAAGCUAGGAAGGGGGUGCUACAAUGCUACCCAAAGACACGAGCAAAACUGCAUUAAAAUACAACGAGUACUCAGUAGACGUCGGUUAAUGCCAUGUCCGACGUCUAUUGUGCCCUUAGACGUCAGUUAGUGCCAUGUCUGGCAUCCUUAUAGUGUCCUUAGACGUCGGUUAGUGUCCUGUCUAACGUCUUUAUAGUGCCCUUAGAUGUCGGUUAUAAUUGCAUUGACUGACGUCUGUAUAAAUGUCAGACAUGGAACUAAACCGAUGUCUGUAAUGACGUCGGACCUGUAGAGUCCGACGUCCGAUUAACGUCACCCAUAUAGACGUCAAGUCUGAAUGUGACGUUAAAAGCCCAAUAUAACAAAUAUCUAAAACCCUUUAUGCACUAAUGAUUCUAUCAUAAGUAACUUUUUGUUUUCUCAUCUUAUAUAAAACAAAUAAAUAUAUUAAAAGAAACUUUAGAAUAUUUAAAUACUUAAAAAUAAAUGUUAAAAUACUUAAAUACUUUAGGAUAUUUAAAAACUUAAAAUAAAUACUUAAAUACUUUAGAAUAUUUAAAAACUUAAAAUAAAUACUUAAAUACUUAAAAUUCUGCAUCGUUAAAAAUUAAAUCCUUAAAAUAAAUUUUAUUUAUUUAGUUUUAAAAGAAACUUUUAGACAUUUAAAAUAUAUAAUUGACCUUUUUUAAGAUGAAAUAAAAAGAAUAUAUUUUUACAGAAUAAAAUAAAAAAUUGGUCUAAAACUGAAAAAUCUAAUUAAAAUUUGACAGGUAUAAAAAGAUAAUAAAUAUAUGUUUAACUACCCAAAAUUUUAAGAAUCUUAUUUUACAGAAAAUCGAAAAAUAUAUUUAAAUCUAACUACUAUUGUACUUCUUUCAUCUUUUUCACAUGUUUAAAAGUUUUAAGAUAUUUUAUUCAUUUCUAUUCACAAAAGAGUUCACCUUAUCACCGGAGGUAGCUCUAUAAAUGAAUUCUCCCACAACUCUGCUUAUUCACACAACUGAACUGAAGAAAGAAGAGAAAAACCUUAAUCUGUUUCAUAGCCAGCCAAAGAAAUGGCGAGUGCAACGCUCUUUGCUAUCUUCCUUCUUUCUGCCAUAACUUUCUACCCUCCUUCAACCACUGCUCAACCUGUCACAGACGGGGAGGGUAACAUCGUUAGAAAUGGUGGCCGAUUCCAUAUAAGGCCAAUCUAUUUUGGAGGCGGCGGUGGAAUUGAACGAGCCAGAACUGGAGACGAAGGAUCCCCUCUCUCUGUUGUGCAAUCUCCCUUCGAGACUGAUCCAGGGCAACCAUGGAUUAUUCGAUCCUUGUUCAAAUCUCAAUUUAUUCCUGAAGGCAGAGUGAGUAUCAGUUACGAAUAUGUUGAACUCGGUGACUCUGUUGAGAGUAAUGAGUGGGUAGCUGUUAAGGGUCAGCCUGAAGGAACCGUCGUUAAAGUUGGCUACUCAAAUUCCGUCUCAGGUUUCUUCACUAUUCACAGAGCUUCCUUUGCCAAUAGCUAUAAAUUUCAGUUCUGUUCAACUGCUGGGUCCUGCGGUAAUGUUGGGAUUGUUAGGGAUGAAGCAGGGAACAGGAUUUUGGCCAUCGAUCAGGAUACCCCAUUCCAGUUUUAUCUUGAGCAACUUCCCUCUGAAGUAUCUAAAUGAAGCUCUGAACAUGAAAAAUCGUACACUUUCUCCGUUGGAGAGAGGUGUCUACGAUGUGCUUUGGAUGUAAUUAACUACCCAACACUAAGUAAAUAACAUAUCCAAAGCUUAUUUCUGUUUCUUCCUUUCUUUUUAGUAUUUAAAAACUUUUACUUCACUGAAGUUAUUAUACGAUAAUUU